rnacentral:rRNA from 1 species
AGUGAACGCUGGCGGUAGGCCUAACACAUGCAAGUCGAACGGCAGCACAGUAAGAGCUUGCUCUUACGGGUGGCGAGUGGCGGACGGGUGAGGAAUACAUCGGAAUCUACUUUUUCGUGGGGGAUAACGUAGGUAAACUUACGCUAAUACCGCAUACGACCUACGGGUGAAAGCAGGGGAUCUUCGGACCUUGCGCGAUUGAAUGAGCCGAUGUCGGAUUAGCUAGUUGGCGGGGUAAAGGCCCACCAAGGCGACGAUCCGUAGCUGGUCUGAGAGGAUGAUCAGCCACACUGGAACGGAGACACGGUCAAGACUCCUACGGGAGGCAGCAGUGGGGAAUAUUGGACAAUGGGCGCAAGCCUGAUCCAGCCAUACCGCGUGGGUGAAGAAGGCCUUCGGGUUGUAAAGCCCUUUUGUUGGGAAAGAAAAGCAGCAGGUUAAUACCCCGCUGUUCUGACGGUACCCAAAGAAUAAGCACCGGCUAACUUCGUG